UCUUGUUUAUUUGCGUAUAUUCCUUUAUGAGAGCUUAUUCAGUUUGUUACUCAGAUUUCACUUGCUUAUUUUACAACGUGGGAUGUUUAUUUACUUGAUUUUUUCCCAGUACUGGAUGUUUUUUGGGUUUCCAGUGGUGGCGGGUUUGGAGAGUUGAGUCUGACAUCUCCUGUUAGAAGUGAAUCUGUUCAUGCUUGAUUUGCAAAAGUAUUGUAUAAAAUAGGAAUAAUCUGAGUGAUGUGUUUGUGAAGAUAUUGUAGUUUUAACGUUUGG
rnacentral:misc_RNA from 1 species